AUAAGUCAGUGGUGAAAUCCCAUCGCUUAACGAUGGAACUGCCAUUGAAACUGUUAGUCUUGAAUUCGGUCGAAGUGGGCGGAAUGUGUCAUGUAGCGGUGAAAUGCAUAGAUAUUACAUAGAAUACCAAUUGCGAAGGCAGAUUACUAAUAAUAUACUGACACUGAUGGACGAAAGCGUGGGGAGCGAACAGGAUUAGAUACCCUGGUAGUCCACGCCGUAAACUAUCAAUACUCGUUUUCGGCGAUAUACAGUCGGAGACUAAGCGAAAGUGAUAAGUAUUGCACCUGGGGAGUACG
rnacentral:rRNA from 1 species